UGUGACAUACCACUUGUUGCCUCGGCGGAUCAGCCCGCUCCCGGUAAAACGGGACGGCCCGCCAGAGGACCCCUAAACUCUGUUUCUAUAUGUAACUUCUGAGUAAAACCAUAAAUAAAUCAAAACUUUCAACAACGGAUCUCUUGGUUCUGGCAUCGAUGAAGAACGCAGCAAAAUGCGAUAAGUAAUGUGAAUUGCAGAAUUCAGUGAAUCAUCGAAUCUUUGAACGCACAUUGCGCCCGCCAGUAUUCUGGCGGGCAUGCCUGUUCGAGCGUCAUUUCAACCCUCAAGCACAGCUUGGUGUUGGGACUCGCGUUAAUUCGCGUUCCUCAAAUUGAUUGGCGGUCACGUCGAGCUUCCAUAGCGUAGUAGUAAAACCCUCGUUACUGGUAAUCGUCGCGGCCACGCCGUUAAACCCCAACUUCUGAAUGUUGACCUCGGAUCAGGUAGGAAUACCCGCUGAACUUAAGCAUAUCAA
rnacentral:rRNA from 1 species